GGCGCACGGUGGAUGCCUUGGCACUAGAAGCCGAUGAAGGACGUUACUAACGACGAUAUGCUUUGGGGAGCUGUAAGUAAGCUUUGAUCCAGAGAUUUCCGAAUGGGGAAACCCAGCAUGAGUUAUGUCAUGUUAUCGAUAUGUGAAUACAUAGCAUAUCAGAAGGCACACCCGGAGAACUGAAACAUCUUAGUACCCGGAGGAAGAGAAAGAAAAUUCGAUUCCCUUAGUAGCGGCGAGCGAAACGGGAAGAGCCCAAACCAACAAGCUUGCUUGUUGGGGUUGUAGGACACUCUAUACGGAGUUACAAAGGACGACAUUAGACGAAUCAUCUGGAAAGAUGAAUCAAAGAAGGUAAUAAUCCUGUAGUCGAAAAUGUUGUCUCUCUUGAGUGGAUCCUGAGUACGACGGAGCACGUGAAAUUCCGUCGGAAUCUGGGAGGACCAUCUCCUAAGGCUAAAUACUCUCUAGUGACCGAUAGUGAACCAGUACCGUGAGGGAAAGGUGAAAAGCACCCCGGAAGGGGAGUGAAAUAGAACCUGAAACCGUGUGCUUACAAGUAGUCAGAGCCCGUUAAUGGGUGAUGGCGUGCCUUUUGUAGAAUGAACCGGCGAGUUACGAUUUGAUGCAAGGUUAAGCAGUAAAUGUGGAGCCGUAGCGAAAGCGAGUCUGAAUAGGGCGUUUAGUAUUUGGUCGUAGACCCGAAACCAGGUGAUCUACCCUUGGUCAGGUUGAAGUUCAGGUAACACUGAAUGGAGGACCGAACCGACUUACGUUGAAAAGUGAGCGGAUGAACUGAGGGUAGCGGAGAAAUUCCAAUCGAACCUGGAGAUAGCUGGUUCUCUCCGAAAUAGCUUUAGGGCUAGCCUCAAGUGAUGAUUAUUGGAGGUAGAGCACUGUUUGGACGAGGGGCCCCUCUCGGGUUACCGAAUUCAGACAAACUCCGAAUGCCAAUUAAUUUAACUUGGGAGUCAGAACAUGGGUGAUAAGGUCCGUGUUCGAAAGGGAAACAGCCCAGACCACCAGCUAAGGUCCCAAAAUAUAUGUUAAGUGGAAAAGGAUGUGGCGUUGCCCAGACAACUAGGAUGUUGGCUUAGAAGCAGCCAUCAUUUAAAGAGUGCGUAAUAGCUCACUAGUCGAGUGACACUGCGCCGAAAAUGUACCGGGGCUAAACAUAUUACCGAAGCUGUGGAUUGUCCUUUGGACAAUGGUAGGAGAGCGUUCUAAGG
rnacentral:rRNA from 1 species